rnacentral:rRNA from 1 species
GACAGAGGCGGCAAGCGUUGCUCGGAAUCACUGGGCGUAAAGGGCGCGUAGGCGGGAUGGCAAGUCGGUCGUGAAAUCCUUCGGCUCAACCGAAGAACGUCGGCCGAUACUGCCGUUCUUGAGGGAUGCAGAGGAGAUUGGAAUUCCCGGUGUAGCGGUGAAAUGUGUAGAGAUCGGGAGGAACACCGGUGGCGAAGGCGGGUCUCUGGGCAUCUCCUGACGCUGAGGCGCGAAAGCGUGGGGAGCAAACGGG